GGCGAACGGGUGAGUAAUAUAUCGGAACGUACCCAAGAGUGGGGGAUAACGUAGCGAAAGUUACGCUAAUACCGCAUACGAUCUAAGGAUGAAGGCAGGGGACCGCAAGGCCUUGUGCUCCUGGAGCGGCCGAUAUCUGAUUAGCUAGUUGGUGAGGUAAAGGCUCACCAAGGCAACGAUCAGUAGCUGGUCUGAGAGGACGACCAGCCACACUGGAACUGAGACACGGUCCAGACUCCUACGGGAGGCAGCAGUGGGGAAUUUUGGACAAUGGGGGCAACCCUGAUCCAGCAAUGCCGCGUGAGUGAAGAAGGCCUUCGGGUUGUAAAGCUCUUUUGUCAGGGAAGAAAAGGUCGUGGCUAAUAUCCACGACUGCUGACGGUACCUGAAGAAUAAGCACCGGCUAACUACGUGCCAGCAGCCGCGGUAAUACGUAGGGUGCAAGCGUUAAUCGGAAUUACUGGGCGUAAAGCGUGCGCAGGCGGUUUCGUAAGUCUGUCGUGAAAUCCCCGGGCUUAACCUGGGAAUGGCGAUGGAGACUGCGAGGCUAGAGUUUGGCAGAGGGGGGUAGAAUUCCACGUGUAGCAGUGAAAUGCGUAGAGAUGUGGAGGAACACCGAUGGCGAAGGCAGCCCCCUGGGUCAAAACUGACGCUCAUGCACGAAAGCGUGGGGAGCAAACAGGAUUAGAUACCCUGGUAGUCC
rnacentral:rRNA from 1 species